GAGUUUGAUCCUGGCUCAGAUUGAACGCUGGCGGCAUGCCUUACACAUGCAAGUCGAACGGCAGCACGGGAGCUUGCUCCUGGUGGGCGAGUGGCGAACGGGUGAGUAAUGCAUCGGAACGUAUCCUGGAGUGGGGGAUAACGUAGCGAAAGUUACGCUAAUACCGCAUAUUCUGUGAGCAGGAAAGCGGGGGACCUUCGGGCCUCGCGCUCUUGGAGCGGCCGAUGUCGGAUUAGCUAGUUGGUGAGGUAAAGGCUCACCAAGGCGACGAUCCGUAGCAGGUCUGAGAGGAUGAUCUGCCACACUGGAACUGAGACACGGUCCAGACUCCUACGGGAGGCAGCAGUGGGGAAUUUUGGACAAUGGGGGCAACCCUGAUCCAGCCAUGCCGCGUGAGUGAAGAAGG
rnacentral:rRNA from 1 species